GUCGCACGCGUAUAAACCCUCCGGGACGGCCAACGGCUAUGCUGAGUUCAUGCAUACCCGCUGCCGACUCACCAGCGCGCCGCACUUUAAACCGCCUGCAUUGGGCAAGCUCCGAGGACACCGGCGUGUAAAAAUGAACACACGCGGAAGAGCCCGUACUGGCCAUUAUACCGGCUCCCUGUGUGUCCCGACAGCCUCACAGCGCUCACCCGCUAGACUGGCCCGCGUUCCCGCGACAGCGUCCUCAACACACAAACGUGUUUCUCAUUCUUUCUUUCCUAGUUGGCGAAGCGGAAGUAGAAGCAGACAAUGGCCGACAGUGAGAUGAAUUGCGUUGCCAUCGUCUAAGAA